rnacentral:rRNA from 1 species
GACGAACCGUGCGAACGUUAUUCGGAUCCACUGGGCUUAAAGCGCGUGUAGGCGGGCCGCCGCGUCGGCUGCUGAAAUCCCCCGGCUCAACCGGGGAAGGGGCACCGAUACGGGCGGCCUGGAGGGGGGUAGGGGGGCCUGGAACUUCCGGUGGAGCGGUGAAAUGCGUUGAGAUCGGAAGGAACGCCCGUGGCGAAAGCGAGGCCCUGGACCCUUACUGACGCUGAGACGCGAAAGCCAGGGGAGCGAACGGG